UUAGAUCUCUUGGGCCGCACGCGCGCUACAAUGAAAGUGUCAAUGUGUAUUUCCUAGACCGAGAGGUCCGGGUAAACCGCUGAACCACUUACAUGCUUGGGAUUGUGAACUGUCACUGUUCGCAUGAACUUGGACUUCCUCGUAAGUGUGAGUCAUUAACUCGCAUUGUUUACGUCCGUGCCCUUUGUGCACACCGCCCGUCGCUACUACCGAUGUGAAUUCUGUAGAGAGGUCUCCGGACGUCAUCACUGUGACGCCUUGCGUGUUACGGCUGUUUCGCAGAAGUUGACUGAACCUGAUUAUUUAGAGGAAGUAAAAGUCGUAACAAGGCUCCCGCAGGUGAACCUGCGGAAGGAUCACUA
rnacentral:ncRNA from 1 species